UGUUUGCAGCUCAUCUGCAGUCUGGUGUUACCUACAUCUUCCUAUUCAGAAGGCAGAAUUUCUGAGUUCUGAGUACAAUCAAAAGCACCACGACUGCAGUUUUUGUGUUGGAUGUAAAAAGCGCACAUGACGCUGUGACGUAGGUAGAAUCAUGGCGCGGUCAACGACAGUCCAGGCGUGGGAUUUCUCUCGUGGAAAUAUGCACAUUAUCUUUUCCUUUCUAUUGGUAGGUGGCACAGUGCACUUGUGGCAAGUAAGCAAGCUACACUGUAAACCCCAACAGUCUACCUGACUUAUAAAGUAUGUGUAUAUAACAAUUGAAAUUUCUCACAAAGUUGAAACAACUUAAAACUUUUCUGUUCUGUUAACGAUUCAAACAAUUAUAAUUGUACAUGGCUUAGAAGUUAAGAGUAAAUACUGCUGUCUUAAUUAUGAUUUUUGAGUAAAUGUUUUUUUCCGAGCUCCGCAUGUGUACGUCAACUACGUCAUGACGUUUUCUCUCUAACCUGAACGACGUUGACAGAAAAUUCUGUUCAAUAUGGCUGCCCUUCUCGAGCAACUGGAGAGCACAUUUGGAGAAACUUGCUGACGACCGAAGAAAAAAAGACCGAAGAAAAAAAAAUUCCGACUGCAAGUCAUUUCAGGUGGAGACAGUAAACACAGUUUUGGACUGUUGGAUGAUCGGCCAUAGAAUUCAAGACUGCACUCAAAGUAAACAGCAGUAAUUUCAUAGGAUGAUGGCAGUUUCCCAAAAGUUCCUUCUGAGAGUUCACGUCACCACAGAUGUUGCUGUAAAGGUUUCUCUAACUAAGCGGCCUGAGUCGGUGGAAGAACUAAUCACCAUACUCCGGGAGAAGCUCAACCCAAGGCUGGACUUUGAGUUUACCUUACAAUACGAAGACCCCGACUUUGAUGGGCAACUUACCUGCCUACUGGAUAUUCAAGAGUUGCCGGAGAAGGGCACACUAAAAGUAGUGAGAUCUGAAAGUGAUGUCAGUUCAUGUGCAAGUUCUGAUACAGACAUCCUUCCUCAUGUGCCAUUAGCUCAGCGUCUGAAGUGUUGGCCUGACACUUUCCCAGUACCUACCUUUUCUUACGAAGUUGAACAUCUCCUUGAGGAGGGAAAUAGAGCCUUUGAGAUGUCUGGAAAACAUCUGAGGUUGACUCGAGCCCAAAAGCACAACAUCUUGGAGACCAUGGCUUCAGUGAUGCACACCUUCAAAGCUUAUCCGAGUGAUAGAGAUGUCGGUUUGGCAGCAGAAGCUCUUGUUACCACUCAUCCGUGUCUUAAAGAGCCUGGAAGUACGAAUGGAAGUUAUGGUUGGAAGACCAGUUUAAAAUUCAAGAUGGGAAAUUAUCGCACCAAGCUAGCCAGAUCUGGAUGUGUGGAGGUGUCUGUCAACGCUGGCAGGAGGAGUGUUAACAACCCUGAAAGAGAGCAUCCCCACUCAAACAUAAAAAGAGCCAGAAGAGCUGAGGUGAACUACCUCCCAAACUUUCCAAGAGGAGAAGAUCAGGUCAGUUUGGAGGAUAUGAGAGUCCAGAUAAAAAUGAGGUUGAGAAGACUGAGCCCAACAAAGUAAUGAUUGAAAAACUGAUGCAGACUACCUUCGCACUACGUCGCCAUGAAAUUGUUCAAGACAGCCCAAUGGUGAAGAACUUCUUAGAGAAAUGGCCUGCUCUGCGAUUUGACUCUCAGAUUUGUGCGGAGUUCCACCGAGUCACAAACAUCAACCUGCGGAACCAGUUCUACGCUGAACUUGACAGACACACACCACGACUUAUGGCUCUAUACAGACAGAAGGCUGCACGGACUGGCAAGAUAUCGGAGGCUCUGCGAACCAUCCUGAAUCAUUAUGAUCUUCAGGAGACGCCUGAUGUCAACGUGAAACGCACUGCAGUGCUUCAUGCCCUUCCUGUAUACCUGCGGGAAGGGGACCCAGAAUUCUUUAAGACAUGUAAUGCGGACACAUUGGAUGAGUCGACCCUCUUUGACACUCCAGUUGCCCUUCUCACAGUGGUUACCGACGGUGCUUCCCAGACCAGUCCUGUCCAUUUUACUUCCUCAAGCAUGGCCGUUGUGGUGGAAGGCGACCUGGUGCUGCGUGAUAUUCCCGGAUUUUCAGAUGCAUUUGCCUUAUUGUUUGGCUUGAUCUAUGCUCUGCAUUUAGACUACCCCAGGAAGCUGGUUCACACAUUUACCUUUGUCCAAAAAAUCUUCAUGGGGCUUGAUGACGGCAAACCCCUGAAACCCUGCCUACAUGCCCUUAAAAAUGAUUUGUUGCUGAAGGAGUAGUUCUGGAAGGAAUAUAAGGCGAUGUUUGUUAGGACAUGCACUGUUACUGAGCACUUUGUUUGAAGCACUUUAAGUUUACUACAGGCUUUGGGUGGAUUUAACUCCAUCAGUUUACCUUAUUUUCCUAUACUUGACUGCCUGUUCUGGUUAUUUGGAAGCUUAUCGUCUUUCUUUUUACCCAUUUUCAAAAAUUGUUUUUCAUUUCUAUUUUUGAAAAAAGGUGAUUAGUAUUUGACUUUUUGUUGUGCAUUUUUGUAUAUUUUGAGAAUUAGGACUGAUGUCGUCUUUUGUGAUUUAAAUGUUCUACACUGAAUUUAUAAUGCGCACUUUACGGUGCCCAUGUCCAUGUUAGUGGUUUGAUAAAAACAUUUGUGAUGUUGUUUUUUUUUUCAUGAAAAAAUGUUAAAUAAACUAAAUGUGAAGUAACUAAAUUUCUGUGCUUUGUUUAGUAGUCUACACUCAAACAUUGGAACAUACAUAUCUUAUAAUAAUCAUAUCAUUUGAGUUUAGGUUGUAAUAUAAUUGCAUUGUGUUGCAUCAAAAUAAUAAACUACAAGAAACACAAAAAUAUUGAAAUUAAAGUAUACAGUCUUUGAGUAACGCUCAAUUAAUAAAAUAUAGGAUAUAAUUUUAAAUUUUUAGGUUAACACUACAUACAAAUUUUGAGUACCCCCAUACUUAGAAGGGAUGAGUUUGUGUACUCAAAUCUUUUGAGGUAAUCGGUUUCCACAAAAGUUUUAAGUUCAGUCAA